ACAAAAUUGACUCCUCGUCCUCAAAUCUUGACCAUUUUUUUGCUUUUUCAUUCCCACUCACUCUCGCUAAUACCCUGCACAAACUCCCAAUCCCAAACGCAAGGGUUUUUGCCUUUGCAUUGCAGAGCCAAGCGAUAAUAAUGGCAAAUACAAACUCUGCGUCUGCACCAGUGGUCGAAGAAGUAAGGGAGAGGAUUGAACUGACACAGAUUGAGCGGAGAAUCUUCGACAGGCUUCUCGCCACUCUUCGCCAUUUUGGCCUCACCAAUCACCAUCUCCGAGUCGCAGGUGGCUGGGUCCGCGACAAGCUUUUAGGGAAAGAGUGCUACGACAUUGAUAUCGCUCUCGACAACAUGUUGGGAAGUGAAUUCGUCGACAAAGUCAGGGACUACUUGUUGUCUACUGGAGAACAAGUCCAAGGUGUCGCUGUUAUUCCAUGCAAUCCUGAACAGUCUAAACAUUUAGAAACAGCAAGGAUGCGCCUUUUUGAUAUGUGGAUUGAUUUUGUAAACUUACGGUCUGAAGAGUACAGUGAUAAUAGCCGCAUUCCUACAAAGCAAAAAUUUGGCACAGCAGAAGAGGAUGCAUACAGAAUGGAUUUAACCAUCAACAGCCUGUUCUACAAUAUUAACACUGAUUCAGUUGAAGAUUUUACUAAAAGAAGCAUUGCAGAUCUAAAAUCUGGAAAGAUAGCGACCCCUUUACCUCCGAAGACUACUUUUUUUGGAUGAUCUGUUACAAGUUAUUCGAGCCAUCCGUUUUGGUGCAAGAUUUGGAUUCCUAUUAGAUGAAGAUCUAAAGGAAGCUGCUUCCUGUGAUGAAGUGAAAGAUGCUCUUGCAGCUAAAAUUAGCAGAGAGCGCAUUGGAGUUGAAAUUGAUCUCAUGCUCUCUGGAAAUCAACCAGUUAAAGCAAUGAUGUAUAUUUGUGAUUUGAUGUUAUUUUGGAUUGUCUUCACUCUUCCUCCCAAGUUUGAGCCUGCCAAGUCAGAAGGCUGUGAUAGGAUUAGCAUUGGUUACUUAGAUGCUACAUGGAGCCUCAUUCAAUUGAUUGGAGACUCUACUUUCAAUGAUGAACAACGAAGGCUGUCCUUGUACGCUGCCUUGUUUCUCCCAUUUAGGAAGACCAUAUAUAAAGAUAACAAGGCCAAAAAGAUACCUGUUGUCAAUUACAUUUUCCGGGAGUCUCUUAAGCGAAAAGCCAGUGAUGCUGAGACAGUUGUAAAUCUACACAGUGCAUUGGACAAAUUCUUAUCUUUGAUUCCUUUCCUAGUGUCCGAUGGGAACAUCCAACCCAUUGAAGUUAAUUGGGGAAGAGGAUUGGAUGAUGUCCCUCUUACUUCAAAACUUCGGGUACUGACAGGAUUACUUCUACGAGAAAUCAAAGAUUUUUGGCGAGUGACCUUGUUGUUGUCUACAUUGUUAUAUCCCACUGAAGUUGAUUGUACAGAAGAUUUUCCAAAGCAGCACUUUCAAUUGGACAAGCAAAGAGAUCUAUUUGAGGCAGUUGAAAGUGCCAUUGCUAAAUUAGGUCUUGAGAAAGUGUGGGAUGCAAAACCACUGGUCAAUGGGAAGGACAUUAUGAGUGUCUUGCAGCUUAAAGCUGGAGGACCACUUAUUAGGGUUUGGCAAAAAAAAUUGCUUGCGUGGCAACUAGCCCAUCCCUAUGGAACUGCAGAGGAAUGCACUGAUUGGAUGAGGCAAAGCCAUUCUAAGCGUGUAAAGACAGAGUAACUAUCGACUCUUUGAGAUGUACUCAUGGCGAAUCUCAUCUGGACCAAUUGGUGAGAGCACUCUGGCUUGCACUGAAGGAGAAGCUUGACUGCUAGUUGCCAGAAAUUGCUGAGACAUGGUGUGGUUCCCUGAUGGAUUUCUGGGAUUGGAGUUACUGUGGCUAUUCAAUUAGGGGGCACCAGCACUCCUGCCACAUUUGAGAUAAGAAAAUGCUUCAAAUAUAUAGUGCAUCAUCUUUCUCACAACAUAUGGUUCACACAAUAUAGAUGCAAGAGAAUUAUUGGUCCAACUGAUGAUCUCCUGCCCACUCAAAGAGAAUGAAUCUCCAUGCUUAUUGUUAAUGUAAAUAAAAAUUUCUCAAUGUUAUUGAAUUUCUCCAUAGGCAGCGACUUAGCACCUGUCCUGGUAAAUUCGCCACUUUCUACAAGCAUGGACAAAUGACACUUUUGUACAAGCAUUCGUGCAAAAUGAUGGUUACCACCAAAUUUGCUACCUUCUAUUUUGUGCUCUUGUGAUCAAAGAGUAACCAAGCUGUAAAAGUUUCAUCCAUAAUGGUUAAAAUAGCAAUGCUAAUUUU